AAAUUGAAGAGUUUGAUCAUGGCUCAGAUUGAACGCUGGCGGCAGGCCUAACACAUGCAAGUCGAACGGUAGCACAGAGAGCUUGCUCUCGGGUGACGAGUGGCGGACGGGUGAGUAAUGUCUGGGAAACUGCCUGAUGGAGGGGGAUAACUACUGGAAACGGUGGCUAAUACCGCAUAACGUCGCAAGACCAAAGAGGGGGACCUUCGGGCCUCUUGCCAUCAGAUGUGCCCAGAUGGGAUUAGCUGGUUGGUGAGGUAACGGCUCACCAAGGCGACGAUCCCUAGCUGG
rnacentral:rRNA from 1 species